GCUGUCCUAAAAGUCGCUGAAUGACAUCAUCGCCUAAUUUGCAUAAUUGGCCAUGUGAACGUAGUUGUGAUGGAUGCUGUAGAACAACGUCGUGGGAGAGACAAAAAGACCUGAGCCCUAGGACCAUGCCUCAGGACUACCUGGCAUGAUGACUCCUUGAUGUCCACCUGGCUGUGCUGCUGCUCCAGUUUGAACUGUUCUACCUGUGAUUAUUAGUUAUGAACAUUUGAACAUCUUGGCCAUGUUCUGUUAUAAUCUCCACCCGGCACAGCCAGAAGAGGACUGGCCACCCCACAUAGCCUGGUUCCUCUCUAGGUUUCUUCCUAGGUUUUGGCCUUUCUAUGGAGUUUUUCCUAGCCACCGUGCUUCUACACCUGCAUUGCUUGCUGUUUGGGGUUUUAGGCUGGGUUUCUGUACAGCACUUUGAGAUAGUGGGGCAAAAAAGUAUUUAGUCAGCCACCAAUUGUGCAAGUUCUCCCACUUAAAAAAGAUGAGAGGCCUGUAAUUUUCAUCAUAGGUACACUUCAACUAUGACAGACAAAAUUAUUUAUUUGCAAAUUAUGGUGGAAAAUAAGAAUUUGGUCACCUACAUAGUAUUUGGUCACCUAUAAGAUGUUUCUCCACAAGCCCUUUCCCAAAAGUGUGAGAGCAGAUCUUUAACCUCAAAUUUAACUAUAUCAUUAUUUAAUAAUGAGCUAUUUAGCUUCCAGUAGGAUGCUCUACCCAGGUUAGUAUCAGGGAUAAAUAUUUUGAUAUCAAUGUAAAUGGCCCUAUGGUCUGUGAGGGGAGUAGUACAAAUAUUUGUAGUAACACUAUCACUAUCAAUACAUUUGCAUAUAAGCCAAAAAUCUAUUCUGGAUUGUCUGGAACCUGUUUUGUUACUCCAAGUUAAUGAUCUGUCGGCCGGAAGCCUCUCUCCAUAUAUCAGUAAGAUCAAACUUUUCCAUAAAAAGUAUUAAACCCAAAUUCUGAUUGGUUGGCCUACCUGGGGGGCCAUCUAUCAGUUGAAUUAUCUAUAGUAAUGUUAAUGUCCCCUCCUUUCAAUAAUAACGAAUUGGGAAAUUUAGAUAACCAAUGAAGUAUGUUUCUCUAUAGAUUCAAGCAACUCAUCAUGUACAGCACUUUGAGGUAUCAGCUGAUUUACAAAGGGCCAUAUAAAUACAUUUGAUUUGAUUUGACUGCCGUGCCACCAUGCUGUUCAAGUGAGCACAGCACAACAAGGCAAGUCCAAAAAUGUAUUGUAUGCUGCUGCAUAAAUUAUGUAUAUACUAGGGAGAUGUGUAUUCUUGUCACGACUUUCGCCGAAGUUGGUGCCUCUACUUGUUCGAUCGCCGGUCGACGUCACCGGCUUUCUAGCCUCCACCGAUCUAAAUUUAUUUUUCCAUUUGUUUUGUCUUGAUUGUACACACCUGGUUCCCAUUACGUUUGAAUUAUUUCCCUAUUUAACCCUCUGGAGCAUCAUGGUUUUGUUGUCCUGUUUAUGUGAUUCUGGAUUUUCCUUCUCCUUGUUGGAAGAUUAUUCUUGAGUAAAGUUACUAUUACUCAUCUGUGUCCUGUACCUGACUCCACCUUACCCACAUCAGACUCUGACAGAAACACGCACCUUUCAAAUGGAGUCAGCAGGUGCACACAGCCCUCCUUUACCUAUGGAGGACCGCGUCCUGCAUCUGCAAACCGUGGAGCAAUGGGAGAGACAGGGUUUUCCAGCAACCCCAUCAUCACCCCAGCUCCGACUCCAACCAUGGUAAAGGAGGUGCAGCGGUUCUUAGGGUUUGCCAACUACUACCGGAGGUUUAUCCGGGGCUUUGGUCAGGUGGCGGCUCCCAUUACCUCUUUGCUAAACGGGGGACCGGUGCGACUGCAGUGGUCAGCUGGGGCGGACAGGGCUUCUGGUCACCUGAAGGCUCUGUUUACCUCAGUUCCCGUGCUGGCUCAUCCUGAUCCCUCUAUGGCAUUUAUAGUAGAGUUGGACUCGUCCAAGGCUGGGAUAGGAGCUGUGCUGUCUCAGCGCUUGGGUACGCCACCAAAGCUCCGCCCUUGUGCUUUUUUCCCCGAAGAAGCUCAGCCCGGCAGAGCGAAACUAUGAUGUGGGUGAUCGGGAGCUGUUGGCUGUUGUCAAGGCUCUGAAGUCGUGGAGGCAUUGGCUUGAGGGGCCUAAACACCCUUUCCUCAUUUGGACUGACCACCGCAAUCUGGAGUACAUCCGGGCGGCGAGGAGACUGAACCCUCGUCAGGCAAGGUGGGCCAUGUUUUUCACCCGUUUUGUUUUCACCCUUUCCUACAGAACAUGUUCCCAGAACGCUAAGGCAGACUCAUUGUCCCGGCUGUAUGACAGAGGAGCGGUCCACGGAUCCCACUCCCAUACUUCCGGCUUCUUGCCUGGUGGCACCAUUGGUAUGGGAGGUGGACGCGGACAUCGAGCGGGCAUUACGUACAGAGCCCACUCCCAACCAGUGUCCAGUUGGGUGUCUGUACGUUCCGUCUGAUGUCCGCAAUCGUUUGAUCUGUUGGGCUCACACGUCACCCUCCUCUUGUCAUCCUGGCAUCGGUCGGACAGUGUGCUGUCUUAGUAGGAAGUAUUAAGUUGCUAUUAUUACUCAUCUGUGUCCUGCACCUGACUCUGCCUUACCCACAUCACCGAGAGUCUGACAAUACUGUAACUAAGAAAGUAAUACUAGUUGUGUAGUAAGAUGUCAGUAGCCCAUGUUCCUCACCCUAAAAAUGUGGUAUAUUUACCCCUCUUAAUUUCACCUAGUGUUCUGACUCGACAGUGCUUAUGUAGCCUACAGUAUAACCUGUUUUAGAGAAAUAUAAUUAUUGAAUUUUGCAAGAGAUUUCAUUGACUGCUUAUAUGCCCCCUUUAUUUAAUCAGGUAGGCUAGUUGAGAACAAGUUCUCAUUUACAAUUGUGACCUUGCCAAGAUAAAGCAAAGCAGAGCGACACAAACACAGAGUUACAAAUGGAAUUGACAAACAUGCAGUCCAUAAUACAAUAGAAAAAGUAUUUAUACAGUGUGUGCAAAUGAGGUAGGAUAAGGGAGGUAAGGCAAUAAAUAGGCCAGAGUGGCAAAAUAAUUACAAUACAGCAAUUAAACACUGGAGUGAUAGAUGUGCAGAAGAUGAGAGUGCAAAUAUAGGGCUACUGGGGUGCAAAGGAGCAAAAUAAAUCAAAUAACAGUUUGGGGGAUGAGGUAGUUGGAUGGGCUAUUUACAGAUGGGCUAUGUGCAGUGAUCUGUGAGCUGCUCUGUGAUAGACUGCAUCCAAUUUGCUGAGUAGAGUCAAGGAUUGGUAGAUAGCCUCGUAAAAUUGACUAUGUUUGGCAGCAUGAGUGAAGGAUGCUUUGUUUGUGAAAUAGGAAGCCUAUUCUAGAUUUAAUUUUGGAUUGGAAAUGCUUAAUGUGAGUCUGGAAGGAGAGUUUACAGUCUAACCAGACACCUAGAAUAUGUGGACAACUACAAAUACCCAAGUCAGAACCGUCCAGAGUAGUGAUGCUAGUCGGGCGGGCAGGUGUGGGCAGCGAUCGGUUGAAGAGCAUGCAUUUAGUUUUACUUGCAUGUAAGGGCAGUUGGAGGCCACAGAAGCAGAGUUGUAUGGCAUUUAAGCUCAUCUGGAGGUUAGUUAAAACAGUGUCCAAAGAAGGGCCAGAAGUAUACAGAAUGGUGUCAUCUGCGUAGAGGUGGAUCAGAGAAUCACCAGCAGCAAGGGCGACAUCAUUGAUGUAUACAUAGAAAAGAGUCGGCCUGAGAAUUGAACCCUGUGGCACCCCUAUAGAGACUGCCAGAGGUCUGGACAACAGGCCCUCCGAUUUGACACACUGAACUCUGAGAAGUAGUUGGUGAACCAGGCGAGGCAAUCAUUUGAGAAACCUAGGCUGUUGAGUCUGCCGAUGAGGAUGUGGUGAUUGACAGAGUCGGAAGUCUUGGCCAGGUCGAUGAAUACAGCAACACAGUAUUGUCUCUUAUCGAUGGCGGUUAUGAUAUAGUUUAGGACCUUGCGCGUGGCUGAGGUGCACCCAUGACCAGCUCGGAAACCAGAUUGCCUAGUGGAGAAGGUACGGUGGGAUUCAAAGUUGUCGGUGAUCUGUUUGUUAACUUGGCUUUCGAAGACCUUAGAAAGGCAGGGUAGGAUAGAUAUAGGUCUGUAGUAGUUUGGAUCUAGAGUGUCUCCCCCUUUGAAGAGGGCAACAAAAAUCAUAACAGCAAGGCCAACUGAAUAUGUUUGAGUGCAUGUAUGUGUGACAGUAUUGCUUCCGUCCCUCUCCUCUCCCCUACCUGGGCUUGAACCAGAGACCUUCUGCACACAUCGACAACAGCCACCCUCGAAGCAUCGUUACCCAUCGCUCCACAAAAGCCGAGCAAGGGGAACAAGUACUUUAAGGUCUCAGAGCGAGUGACAUCACCGAUUGAAACACUGUUAGUGCGCACCACUGCUAACUAGCGAGCUAUUUCACAUCGGUUACAUGGCACUAUUUAAGUGUGUGUCCGUGUAUGUGUGCAUUUGAAUGAGUGUGUGUAUAUGCAUGUGUACAAACACCUGCACAGCAUCAGCCUCAGGCAAACUGGCAUUAGCUGUAACAACGCUACCCCUCAGUGUCAUUCAAACAUACUUUUUGUCAUGAUUUUUAUUUUCUUUUUUAAAAACUUUUCUUUGACCGCCAUUCUCCGGCUGAUUCUCCGGUUGUUCAUUCAUAGCUCUUCCCCCUCAUUUUCAUUAAAAAAAAACUUUUUCUCCCAAAUUUCGUGGUAUGCAAUUGGUAGUUAGUCUUGUCUCUUCGUUGCAAUUCCCAUACGAACUCGGAAGAGGCAACGUUCGAGAGCCGUGCGUCCUCCGAAACACAACACAAUCAAGCCACACUGCUUCUUGACACAAUGCCCACUUAACCCGGAAGCCAGCCGUACCAAUGUGUCAGAGGACACCAUACACCUGGCGACUGUGUCAGCGUCCACUGCACCCGGCCCGCCACAGGAGUCGCUAGUGCACGAUGGGACAAGGACAUCCCUGCCAGCCAAACCCUCCCCUAACGAUGCCGGGACAAUUGUGCUCCGCACCAUGAGUCUCCCGGUCGUGGCCGGCUGCGACAGAGCCUGGACUCAGAAUCUCUAGUUGCACUGCGAUUCAGUGCCUUAGACCACUCGGGACGCCCUAUACUGCCGUCCAGGGAACAGUAGAUAUAUUCAAUGAAGUGAUUCAGGCCUGCAUUAAACACAUUGAAUUUAAAA